UUUCUGCCAUGAUGAGCUGCAUGUUCAGUCCGUGUUUCACAUGAUCACUGAUUAUACACAUGCCCUGAGCAGAAA
ensembl:snoRNA